AGUGAACGCUGGCGGUAGGCCUAACACAUGCAAGUCGUACGGCAGCACAGUAAGAGCUUGCUCUUACGGGUGGCGAGUGGCGGACGGGUGAGGAAUACAUCGGAAUCUACUUUUUCGUGGGGGAUAACGUAGGGAAACUUACGCUAAUACCGCAUACGACCUACGGGUGAAAGCAGGGGAUCUUCGGACCUUGCGCGAUUGAAUGAGCCGAUGUCGGAUUAGCUAGUUGGCGGGGUAAAGGCCCACCAAGGCGACGAUCCGUAGCUGGCCUGAGAGGAUGAUCAGCCACACUGGAACUGAGACACGGUCCAGACUCCUACGGGAGGCAGCAGUGGGGAAUAUUGGACAAUGGGCGCAAGCCUGAUCCAGCCAUACCGCGUGGGUGAAGAAGGCCUUCGGGUUGUAAAGCCCUUUUGUUGGGAAAGAAAAGCAGCAGGUUAAUACCCCGCUGUUCUGACGGUACCCAAAGAAUAAGCACCGGCUAACUUCGUG
rnacentral:rRNA from 1 species